UGCUUUGAUGCCGCUGGCUGAAUGAGCACGUUUACUUGCUUCAUUUUUCCAGUCAUGAGCCUUUUCUGCCUCAUGUGAAGGUGUGGGCAACACAGCAGCCUGUGCCUGUUAUAAAUUUGAGCCUCCUGCAUGAAGCGUUCUGCUCAGGGCAGAUAUAAUGAUCUCUUCAGCUUGGAGAAGCUGGCUGAUUUUUUUUCUAGACCAAAGCUGUCAUCUCGACCCGAGGAAUAGGUAAACAGUAGAUAGAAAUUUUUUGUCCUAUUUUUUACAACUUUCUCUGCCAAUAUGAAAUUACUUCCAAAUUGAAAAAAAAAUUUAAAUAUAAAAUAUUUAAAAAUUAAAAGCAAAAAAUGAGUAGCCGGGUGCAGUGGCUUAUGCCUGUAAUCCUAGCACUUUGUGAGGCCGAGGCAGGUGGAUCACCUGAGGUCAGGAGUUCGAGAGCAGCCUGGCUAACAUGCAAUGGAUUAAAAUUCAUCAAAUAGGUUUAAAUCCAUGAUUUCAUGAUAAUAUAAAAACGUAAUUAUUAGUUUUGGAGGAUGAUAAGAAAUGAAAUCAUUAUCUUGGUAAACAGAGCCAAAAAACCAAACAUUUAUCCUUCAUUUCCUAUAUGAAAUGUUUUACUCUGUAAACAAAUAGUAGAUAAGGGGAAGUGUCACUUUAUGAAAGUAUUCUAACUAAUAAAUGAAAAAGAAAUGAUAGAACUAGAAUAUCACCAUUUUGCAACCUUUAAUGAGUGGCUAUAGGUGUUAAGUAUCAACAGUUUCUAAAAUCACAGAGACAACCAGACAAAAUAUGCCUCUAUAGCCUUCAAAAACACUGCCUAUAAAUUUGUCAAGGGAAUAGAACCUGAAUCGGACCCUGUCUCUGGAUUCAGCUUCCUGUUGGCAGGAAAUACAGAGACUAGAGGAACAAGUCGGGAUAGUGGUUAUUUAUGGGGAAGGGAGAGACUGUGAUUGGGCUGGGCACAUUGAGGGGGUUUCCAAGGCAAGUGGUGAAGUUCUGUUUCAUGAGCUUGGAGGUGUUUGUCUUAUAAUAAUUCAGUAAGCUAUACAUUUGAUUCGUGUGGUUUUCUGUAUUAGUGUUUAAUUUUACAAUAAAAUUUAAAAGAAAAGGUGAGAAAAAAAAGCCAAAACAACCAAAGGA
rnacentral:lncRNA from 1 species